CAAAGUGCUUGGAUUACAGGCGUGAGCCACCGCACCCAGCCCCCCAAUAUUUUUAUCAUUAUUUUUAAAUGUUUAAUGUUUAGGGGUCAGACUUCAUUUUUGUCAAAUGGACAGCCAAUUGAUCCAGCCCCAUUAACUGAAUAAUACAACCCUUCCCACUGAUUGAAAUGCCACUUCUAUCAUAAGUUCCUAGAGAUACACAGGUCUGUUGCUGGCCAUUUUUCUUUUUCUUUUUUCUUUUUUUCUGGAAACAGGGUCUCUGUCACCCAGGCUGCAGUGUGGUGAUACGAUCAUGGCUCACUUUAACUUUGGCCUCCCAGGUUCAAGUGAUCCUCCCACUUCAGCCUCCCAAGUAGCUGGGAUUACAGGUACAUGGCACCAUGCCCCGCAGUGGCCUUUCUUCAGCAGUGGGCCACAGAAACGAAUAUGCAUGUGAGUGGCUGAGGGUGGCCACCUGGAGAGUGCCACAUGCACUGCGUCUCCUCAUUUGCUGCUGUGCAGAAAUUGUGGACCCACUGUGGCCACAUAUGCCGAGUUCUCAAGAGGUGCUAGACAUCCAGAUUUUUAUAUGAACUCUCCAGUGUUUAAAGUGUUGGCAAUUAAUUAAAAAAAAAAAAUUUAAAAUGCCGGGCACCAUGGCUCACGUCUGUAAUCUCAGCACUUUGGGAGGCCAAGGUGGGUGGAUCACCUGAGGUCAGGAGUUUGAAACCAACCUGGCCAAAAUGACAAAACCCCGUCUCUACUAAAAAUACAAAAAUUAGCCAGGCGUGGUGGCGGGCACCUGUAAUCCCAGCUACUCAGGAGGCUGAGGCAGAAGAAUCACCUGAACCCGGGAGGUGGAGGUUGUAGUGGGCCGAGAUCACGCCAUUGCACUCCAGCCUAGGCAACAAGAACGAAACUCUGUUUAGAAAAAAAAAAAAUUAAAAACAUUAUGUGGACAAAAUACAUUUGCAAGCUGAGACUAGCCUGUGGCACACCGGUUAGUGACCUCUAUUCCACAUGCUGAAAUAAUGCAGGCCAGACUGGGUCCAGGAAUCCACCUCUAACUCUUUCCCACUGCCAACAUUAAGAUGCAAAAGAGGAAGAGUGAUGUGGCAGCUCCUGGAAACCCAGGCAUCUCUGGGAAAGCAAGCAGUGUUAUGGCUCAUGUGUCACCUUUUACCCACAGGAGUUGAUGAUGUGGUUCCCGGUAUGCCAAGUAACUAGGAGGGAGGAGGUCAGCACUGGGGAGGGGAAGGUAACAUCCUCAGUCAAAGUUGGACCUCCCAGACCUGUUAGGCAGAGUUACAAAGAAAGACAAUGGGUUGGAAGGAGGAUGGAAACUGAGGUGCUGGCCAAGAACAUAGCAAGAUUUUGGCCCCCCAAAACAAGCUGGAAAGUGAUGUCACUUCCUAUGUAAUAAUAAUGUGGCUUCCGUGGAAACCUUCCAACUUAACACUGCAGAAUCUGAAAAGAAAUGGCAAUGAGCAGAGGUCUCCCACCCUCACGUGGAGGACAGGGUCCGCAAAGAUGAGUCACAUUGUAGAACUUCACUAUUCAGAGAAAGCCCCUUCACAUGCAGAAUCUCGCUGGUCUCUCAGGACAAUCCUGUGAGGUAGGCAGCACCAGGGGUGUUACUGCCCCUUACAGAAGAGGGAACUGGCAUUAGUGAUGAUCAGAAUGGGUCUUAGAUAGCUCUGGGAUGUGCAGGAAGGACACUUGUAUGAAGAAUAAAAGACCGGCCGGGCGAGUGGCUCACGCCUGUAAUCCCAGCACUUUGGGAGGCCAAGACAGGCGGAUCAUGAGGUCAGGCAUUCGAGACCAGCCUGGCCAACAUAGUGAAACCCCAUCUCUACUAAAAAGCAGUGAGCCAAGAUUGUGGCCACUGCACUCCAGCCCGGGCGACAGUGCGAGACUCCAUCUCAAAAAAAAAAUAAUAAAAUAAAAAUAAAAGACUGCAGGCCCUUUCUCCUUCCCCGUGCCCAUUUCUGUAGAAUCAUUUAUUCAUUAAAUUCACUGAACACUUUCCAUGGGCUGGGCACUCUUAGGCAUUGGGAACAUAGGAGUACACAGGUCCUGGGCACUGUCCUCCCCUGUGGCUGGGUCAGUCAUCCUUACUCUGAAUCAUGGCCCAGACUGGCCUUGCCCUACUCCUCUCUAGGUAGAGCAGUGAUCUCAGGCCAACUCUUGCAUUUUGUUCCAGAAACCUUGAUUAUUUCCCUGACUAUUGGUCACUUCCCGAAAUGCACUGAACUGUGCCAGGAAUAGGAUAUGUUUUUAAGUGCUUGAGACACAGACAAGUGGCAGACGCAUACCCAAAUUCCAACCAUACUUUACUUCUGACCUAAUUUUAAUAUAUGUUUCAUGCAGUUACACAAUUAUCUGUGCAUAAUGCUCUGAGAAAAGGGAUGGCACAUACAGUUUCUCCUGAAGCGGGAAACAGAGCCCAGUUGGUAAGGUGGCCAGUCUCUAGGGCAUCUUAGAUGAACCUUGUUUCUUCCUAUUACUUUUCCUUCAUCUACUUUUUUUUUUUCUGAGAUAGAGCCUUGCUCUGUCGCCCAGGCUGGAGUGCAGUGGCAUGAUCUCGGCUCACUGCAACCUCUGCCUCCUAGGUUCAAGGGAUCUUCCUACCUCAGGCUCCUGAGUAGCCAGGAUUACAGGUGCAUGCCACCGUGCCCGGCUAAUACUUUGCAUUUUUGUAAAGACGGGGUUUCACCAUGUUGGCCAGGCGGGUCUCGAACCCCUGACCUCAAGUGAUCGGCCGCCUAAGCCUCCAAAGUGCUGGGAUUACAGGCAUGAGCCACCGUGCCCAGCCUUCCUUCAUCUACUUAUUUUCCUGUGAUGCCUCCAUGUUUUAGAGUAUGUGUCUGAGGGGCAGGAAUAUGUAUUAGAUAUAUCUAGGGCAGUCCCACCAGCUUUACAUUCUUGAGACCUCAUCCAUCAGUUCUUGUUUUGCAGACAUAUACUUCUAUUGACUACAAUGAGAAGUGUGUCUCUUAAAAAGGUAAGUCUGGCCGCGCGUGGUGGCUCACGCCUGUAAUCCCAGCACUUUGGGAGGCAGAGGCAGGUGGAUCACGAGGUCAGGAGAUCGAGACCAUCCUGGCUAACAUAGUGAAACCCCGUCUCUACUAAAAAUACAAAAAUUAGCUGGGUUCGUGGGGGUGCGUGCCUGUAGUCCCAGCUACUCAGGAGGCUGAGGCAGGAGAAUCGCUUAAACCUGGGAGGCGGAGGCUGCAGUGAGCCCAGAUCAUGCCACUGCACUCCAGCCUGGGCGACAGAGUGAGAUUCUGUCUCCAAAAAAAAAAAAAAUUAGCCAGGUGUGGCAGUGCACGCCUGUAGUCCCAGCUACUGGGGAGGCUGAGGCAGGAGAAUUGCUUGAACUGGGGAGGCAGAGGCUGCAGUGAGCCCAGAUUGUGCCACUGCACUCCAGCCUCAGUGACAGAGCGAGACCCUGUCUCAAAAAAAAAAAAAAAAAACAAGUGAACAAAGGUCUCUGGUUUUCCUAGGCAGAGGACCCUG
rnacentral:lncRNA from 10 species